rnacentral:rRNA from 1 species
GACGAGUGCCCCGAGCGUUAUCCGGAUUUAUUGGGCGUAAAGCGUGUCCAGGUGGUCCACCGCAUCUUUGGUCAAAUUCUAAGGCUCAACCUUAGAACUGCCGGAGAGAUGGGUGAACUAGAGGACGGGAGAGGUCAGCGGAAUGGCCGGUGUAGUAGUAAAAUGCGUUAAUAUCGGCUAGAACACCAAAGGCGAAGGCAGCUGACUGGAACGUACCUGACACUCACACACGAAAGCGUGGGUAGCGCUUGGG